CUACCUGGACCGUCACAGACACACACCCUCUGGGCCCAAACCAGCACCCUGCAGGUGGUUUUCAUCCUGCAGAGGACGGCUGGUUUGCCGACCAUUUUAGCUCCUUAGCAUCAGUCUGCAGUGGCAGUGCUGACCCCGGCAGUGCCGGCCAGCCUGCCGGUACUGAGCCAAACGGCAUCCACACGUCGACAAGUAUCAAGAGCCAGUGGGAAGACACAUGCCAUCGCAACCUAUCAGAGAGGCCGACGGGACCUGAGACGGCAAUUUCGGGGGAAGCCGGC